CCUACGGGGGGCAGCAGUGAGGAAUAUUGGUCAAUGGACGAGAGUCUGAACCAGCCAAGUCGCGUGAAGGAUGACUGCCCUAUGGGUUGUAAACUUCUUUUAUAAAGGAAUAAAACGAGGCACGUGUGCCUUUUUGCAUGUAAUUUAUGAAUAAGGAUCGGCUAGCUCCGUGCCAGCAGCCGCGGUAAUACGGAGGAUCCGAGCGUUAUCCGGAUUGAUUGGGUUUAAAGGGAGCGUAGAUGGGUUGUUAAGUCAGUUGUGAAAGUUUGGGGCUCAACCGUAAAAUUGCAAUUGAUACUGGCAGUCUUGAGUACAGUUGAGGUAGGCGGAAUUCGUGGUGUAGCGGUGAAAUGCUUAGAUAUCACGAAGAACCCCGAUUGCGAAGGCAGCUUACUAAACUGUGACUGACAUUGAGGCUCGAAAGUGUGGGUAUCAAACAGGAUUAGAUACCCCGGUAGUC
rnacentral:rRNA from 1 species